rnacentral:rRNA from 1 species
AUACGUAGGGGGCGAGCGUUGUCCGGAAUGAUUGGGCGUAAAGGGCGCGUAGGCGGCGCGGUAAGUCUGGAGUGAAAGUCCUGCUUUCAAGGUGGGAAUUGCUUUGGAUACUGCCGCGCUUGAGUGCAGGAGAGGUUAUCGGAAUUCCCGGUGUAGCGGUGAAAUGCGUAGAGAUCGGGAGGAACACCAGUGGCGAAGGCGGGUAACUGGACUGCAACUGACGCUGAGGCGCGAAAGUGUGGGGAGCAAACAGGAUUAGAUACCCUGGUAGUCCACACUGUAAACGAUGAAUGCUAGGUGUAAGAGGUAUCGACCCCUUUUGUGCCGCAGUCAACACAAUAAGCAUUCCGCCUGGGGAGUACGGCCGCAAGGUUGAAACUCAAAUGAAUUGACGGGG